UGUGAAAGAGGGGAAAGAAGAUUCUACUCACCUCAGCUGAGCCAGGAGGGGCCUCGGGAGUAUGGCAGUGAGAGCUCCCAGCUCUGGGACCUAGAGAGCCAGUAUCACUGAGGCAGACUCAGGGAGGAAGCUAGGGGUAGAGUGCCUGGCUAGUGGCAGGUUUGGGUCUCUUCCUUAAUACUUAGCCUCUCUCCCCUGGCUCCAAGAGGAAAGAAGCUACCCUUCAAAAUCCAGAGCCAUAAGCCAACACUUUUUUUUUUUUUUUUCAGAUG
rnacentral:lncRNA from 1 species